rnacentral:rRNA from 1 species
UGAGGAAUAUUGGGCAAUGCCCGCAAGGGUGACCCAGCAACGCCGCGUGGAGGAUGAAUGUCGUAAGAUUGUAAACUCCUGUUAGAGGGGAAGAAUAGUACCGGUUGGACCGGUAUAUGACUGUACCCUCAGAGAAAGCCCCGGCUAACUACGUGCCAGCAGCCGCGGUAAUACGUAGGGGGCAAGCGUUGUCCGGAUUUACUGGGUGUAAAGGGCGCGCAGGCGGGAUAAAAAGUCAGUGGUGAAAUCCUACAGCUUAACUGUAGAACUGCCUUUGAUACUUUUAUUUUUGAGUUCGGGAGAGAGAGACGGAAUUUCAGGUGUAGUGGUGAAAUACGUAGAUAUCUGGAAGAACACCAGUUGCGAAGGCGGUCUCUUGGUCCGACACUGACGCUGAGGCGCGAAAGCGUGGGGAGCAAACA